GCGCGAAAACUUUACAAUGCUGGCAACAGCGAUAAGGGAACCUCGAGUGCCCGGUUACAAAUCUGGCUGUCGUGAUGCCUAAAAAGCAUUGCAUAGCAAGGGCCGGGCAAGACCGGUGCCAGCCGCCGCGGUAACACCGGCGGCCCGAGUGGUAACCGUUAUUAUUGGGUCUAAAGGGUCUGUAGCCGGCCGGAUAAGUCUCUUGGGAAAUCUGGCAGCUCAACUGUCAGGCUUUCAGGAGAUACGGUCUGGCUCGAGGCCGGGAGAGGUGAGAGGUACUUCAGGGGUAGGGGUGAAAUCUUGUAAUCCUUGAAGGACCACCAGUGGCGAAGGCGUCUCACCAGAACGGACCUGACGGCAAGGGACGAAAGCUAGGGGCACGAACC
rnacentral:rRNA from 1 species